UGCUCACUUCGGCAAUAUCCUAACCCUGAAAUAACACAGAGAAGAUUAACAUGGCUCCUGUGCAAAGAUGACAUGCAAAUUCGUGAAGCAUCCCGUAUGUUU
rnacentral:snRNA from 1 species